GCACAUAAAUGCAUGUGCUGACUCACCUGACUAAUCUCACACUGAAAAUAUCACUCCAGCCAACUGACCAAAGUUGGCAACCCUGUUGUUGCAGAGAGAUGGGUGAUGUUUGGAGAGUUUGCACUGCAUGGAUUCCCUCCAGUACAAGAGGCACCGAAGGAGAGGGAUGACAUUAAAGAACCUCCACCACAUCUAACUACAGACACUGGAGUUUCCUAGAUCGCCGACACCCAGCAAAUUGUUGCCGGCUUCUCCUCCCACCUCUGAGGACAGUACAUCAAGCCUGUCUGUGGAGUCUGACAGGCAAUUGACAAUGAGCUCACCCACAGGACAAUCAAGGAAG